rnacentral:rRNA from 1 species
UGGGGAAUCUUCCGCAAUGGACGAAAGUCUGACGGAGCAACGCCGCGUGAGUGAAGAAGGUUUUCGGAUCGUAAAACUCUGUCUUUUGGGGCGAACGUGAGUAUGGUGAACAAUCAUAGUCAGUGACGGUACCAAAGGAGGAAGCCACGGCUAACUACGUGCCAGCAGCCGCGGUAAUACGUAGGUGGCAAGCGUUGUCCGGAAUUAUUGGGCGUAAAGAGCGCGUAGGCGGGAUAGUCAGUCUGUUGUAAAGUGCGGGCUCAACCCCGUGAUCGCAAUGGAAACAGCUAUUCUUGAGUGCAGGAGAGGAAAGUGGAAUUCCCAGUGUAGCGGUGAAAUGCGUAGAUAUUGGGAGGAACACCAGUGGCGAAGGCGACUUUCUGGACUGUGUCUGACGCUGAGGCGCGAAAGCCAGGGGAGCGAACGGGAUUAGAUACCCCGGUAGUCCUGGCCGUAAACGAUGGGUACUAGGUGUGGGAGGUAUCGACCCCUUCCGUGCCGGAGUUAACGCAAUAAGUACCCCGCCUGGGGAGUACGGUCGCAAGACUGAAACUCAAAUGAAUUGACGGGGUCAUAGCUGUUUCCU